AGAUGCCCAAGGGAAGUCCAUCAGUUGGACCUGAGCAUAACGGCCACUCUCUCCCAACAGUGUUGGGAGUUUCUCCAGGGAGAAGAGUCGAUGGAGGAAGACUGGAAGAAAUUCAAAGACUAUCUUCAGAAACACUGCAAAAUUAAGGAAUGUUAGAGUGAUGUUGGACUGAAAAUAAGUGGUUUCCAGCUGCAUAGGUUAAAGUUAAGGAUAGAUUAAGAUUAAAGAUUAAGAUUAAAGAAGUUUAAAGAAAUGGAAAUUUGAUCUUAAAAGGGAAAACUUUAAAGUUACAGGAUAUUAAGAUCAAGGAUUAGGUUUAAAAGAGUUGAAGUUAUAUAUUUUAACAUUUUAUUAAAUUAAAGAUUGGGAUUAAAAAGUGGAAAAGAAACUGCUGGAUAAAUAAUUGUGGAUUGGAAUACAAAAGAGGGAGGUAUGAGGAAGUCCAGAAAAUAAGUAACUUAAAAUUGGUAAUGGAAAAGAGAGUUCGUUAUUAAUUGUUUUGUGUUUAUAUUGUUAAGUUUUGUAUUGUUUUUUUUGUGUGUUGUUUUUCUUUUUUGUUUGUUUAAAACCUUAAUAAAAAAUUAUUU